rnacentral:rRNA from 1 species
UACGUAGGGGGCAAGCGUUGUCCGGAAUCAUUGGGCGUAAAGAGCGCGUAGGCGGUCCGGUAAGUCGGUUGUGAAAGUCGGGGGCUCAACCCUCGGAGGCCGACCGAUACUGUCGGGCUAGAGUCCGGAAGAGGCGAGUGGAAUUCCGUGGUGUAGCGGUGAAAUGCGCAGAUAUCAGGAGGAACACCAAUGGCGAAGGCAGCUCGCUGGGACGGUACUGACGCUGAGACGCGAAAGCGUGGGGAGCAAACAGG